GUUCCAGGGCUGACCAAGAGGAGAGCCAAUUAAAAAUUUUAGUAACGCCUCUGUGAUAACAUAUUUAGGAAAAAACUUGUUGUGCAGAAGAAAUUGCAGCCAGGGGAGUUUCCGACCGGGACUCCAGGCGGUCCAAGUUGCCUCCCCCACCACGGGCGGGGCGGGCGGUGGCUGCGGCCUGGGCCCGCGGCAGCUGCUGGCCCGAAGCAGGCAGGGCGGGCCCUGCGAAGGGGGGCCAGGGCCAGGGCGUGCGGCCUGGUGGGGGGAGGACUCCAUGGAAGCGCCGCGGCCGCGGCAGCCAGGGCCAAGGCCAGGGCUGAGGCCAGGGCUGUGGAGAGCAGCCCUGCAGCUCCCCCCGGACCCACCCCAUGAGCAGCCUGUGCUAGAACAGAUCCUGCUGGCUGAGCAGAGCCGGCCGGGCCGGGGCGGCCCCUGCCACCUUCCUGCCGCGGGUGGGGGUGACUGGGUCGAGAGGCGCGGGGGCGCCCCGGGCUAGGCCAGGGAGGCAGAGCGGCCCCGCAGCCCCCGGGCCCGCCCCGCGAGAAGCCCAUGAUGGAGCAGAUGGAUGCAUGGGAGAAGACAGUCACCCAUGGGAGGGCCAGUAUGGGGCGGGGGCCUGCAGGAGAUUUGCGGCCUGUGGAGAGAGGAGCCCACGCCGGAGCAGGUUACUCCCGGACAUGCAUAAGUAUUGCUAUGAGCCUUCAGUAGCUGAUGUUACAUAAAUGACAAAGUUUGUCAGAGCAGGCAUACCUACAUAUGUAUCUCACUUCCUUACACUUGCAGGGAGACUUCUCACAGGCGACAGAGGUGCAGAAUCACAACUGGCCAGCCUGAGUUCCUGAUGAAAUCAUGCAGUCACUGAAGGGCAAACACUCUCCACUUCUACUGACCCUCUGGUCCUCAAUAAAAUUUCUGAGCUCUGUUUUCUACAUGUCAGAAAAUGUAAAGGAUUGUUUUACUUCACUUGUCUCACUUAAAAUUUUUAUUCAUUUAGUGAGUUAUGCUUUGGUUAUACAACACUAUAGUGUGCUUGCAUUAACUGUGCUGCAUAAAAUAUAAUGGGGGUUAAUAGCAGGAUAAUUUCCCCAUGGAAAAGAAUUAUGGCUUUGACCCUCCUGGAGUCAGAAUAAAAUGCUGCAGGGAUAAGAGCUUAUCUUAACUCCCUAAAUCCUACCGUAACAGCUGAACUGAAAAAUAGCUUAUUUGCUUUGGAUAAAUUCUUCAUUCAGCAAAUUAACAUGAUAUAGAGUGGAGAGAUAUGUACAUAUUAUCCUUUCUAAGACUUCUUUAGCUUUUAUGUCACUGACAAUUUUUAUUUUUUUUAACAAGAGCAAGUAUUUAAUGGUUUGAUUUGUCUGGAAUUUCAUUUUAAAAGUCAUUACUAAAUCCAGGACCUAGAACUGCAUUGGAGUGAUUAAAUAUCCUUAUAAAAUUUCCCUAUAUUUGCCAUCUGUUCUAAUUAUCACAGUAAAUGCACUGCAACGACAAUAAAAAAUAUAAAACGUCAAAA